rnacentral:misc_RNA from 1 species
CAACAAGAUAGAAUGAUUUCAAUCUGCUUACCUGAGCAUUGUUUUCCACAAUGCUUCCUGAAAAUGGACUCAUUUGACACCACUCAAAGGAGAAUUAAUUAUCUUAGUUACAACAUCCAAUAAAUAUAGAUGCCAUCGAUAAUACAACCAUACAAAUAUGAUAGUAAAUAAAUACAUGCAACAAAAGGCAAUUCAAAGAAAGAAGCAAUAAAAUAUAUUAUUUGUCAAUAAUGAGCCAGCAUAAGCAACUUUAUGAGCAGGGCUAGGAGGCCUUACAAUCCAAUGG